UUUAAGGUAGCCAAACGUCCGGCAAAUGGUCGAAGGUUUGACGAGAGUCAAGCUGCACAUCCCCGGAGUGAUGAUGCUGACAUGAGUAGCCACUAGUCCAGAAAUCUCUAUACAUUUGAUAGAGAUUGGACGGCCGAAAACCCCAGGUUUUCUGCGAAAGGCAAAACCGCGCAGAGUGACACGGUUCCUCAGAUCACACCCGCUCGGGUGGAUUAAGGGGCUGGCACCAGCAUUUUCUCAGUGUACAGUGAAACUUAAUAUCAAACACGGACAAUUUAAUUGUCUAUUCGGUUUUCUAUUUUCAACAAAAUAGAAAACUCUAAGUUAUAAUUUAUUUUUGGUGACACUUUGUUUUUCGCGUUAACGCGAAAAAUAUCAUUAUUCGA
rnacentral:rRNA from 1 species